UAGAUAAAAGUUCGCUGGAUAGAACGCUUAGCUGUUAACUAAGAUUUUAUAGGAUCGAGGCCUAUUUAUCUAGUAG
rnacentral:tRNA from 1 species